UACGGGGGGGGCAAGCGUUGUUCGGAAUUACUGGGCGUAAAGGGCGCGUAGGCGGCCUUCUAAGUCGGACGUGAAAUCCCUCGGCUUAACCGAGGAACUGCGACGGAUACUGCUUGGCUUGAGUCCCGGAGAGGCUAGCGGAAUUCCCAGUGUAGCGGUGAAAUGCGUAGAUAUUGGGAGGAACAUCGGUGGCGAAGGCGGCUUCCUGGACGGGUACUGACGCUGAUGCGCGAAAGCUAGGGGAGCAAACAGG
rnacentral:rRNA from 1 species